UACGUAGGGGCCGAGCGUUGUCCGGAAUUACUGGGCGUAAAGCGCCCGUAGGCGGCCUGACAAGUUGGACGUGAAAGCUCCUGGCUUAACUGGGAGAGGCCGUUCAAAACUGUCAAGCUAGAGUCUGGAAGAGGAGAGCGGAAUUCCCGGUGUAGUGGUGGAAUGCGUAGAGAUCGGGAGGAACACCAGUGGCGAAAGCGGCUCUCUGGUCCAAAACUGACGCUGAGGGGCGAAAGCGUGGGGAGCGAACGGG
rnacentral:rRNA from 1 species